AAAUUAAAACAAUUUUUACCAUUCUGUGAUAACAAGCACUUUUUUGACAUUUUAAUAUUAUAUGAUGUAUUUAAUUGAGUAGUUAUUGUUGCAAACUCCAUUAAUUGGGGGGGGGGUUCAAUUUUUCUCAUUUCAGAUUUCAUAAAUAAAAAGAAAAUUUCUUCAAACAUUUUUUUGAGAGGAUUAAUAUUCAACAGCAUAGUGAAUUGAUCAAACGGAAAAAAAAAAAUUUAAGUUUAUUAGACCACAUUCAUUCUGUGUCAGAAACCUAUGCUGUGUCAACUAUUUAAUCACAAUCCAAAUUUAGAGCUGAAUCCAGCUUGAAUGUUGUGUCCAUACUUGCCCGAACUGUUGAGUGUUCAAGCUCUGCGGUCGUAUAAAGCUGCGCCCUGCAGAGCAUCUGGUUGUAGUUUCAAGUCAAUAAAUUGGAGUUAUCUUUCUUUGUCCAGAAUGAUUGUUAAAUCACCU
rnacentral:lncRNA from 1 species